GCAGGCGCGAAAACUUUACAAUGCGGGCAACCGUGAUAAGGGAACCUCGAGUGCCUGUACAUGCAGGCUGUUCAGGUGUAUAAAACACACCUGAAGAAAGGCCCGGCCAAGACCGGUCCCAGCCGCCGCGGUAAUACGGGGGGCUCGAGUGGUGGCCACUUUUAUUGGGCUUAAAGCGUUCGUAGCUGGGUUGUUAAGUCUCUUGGGAAAUCUGGCGGCUUAACCGUCAGGC
rnacentral:rRNA from 1 species